AUGGAUGGCGUGUCAAGAGAAAUGUCUCAAAGUGCUGCUGCUCUGACCUCAGCGUUGUGUCCCUCUCGGUCACAGGACCCGUCCCAGCACUGUGAGCACUGUGACGUGGAGUGGAUAAAGAAAGCCGGGGACGAGCAGGUGAACCUAGCAUUAGCCUACACCGAGCUAACCGAGGAGCUGGGCCGCGUUCGCAACCUGGCGGUUAAACAGAGUGACCUUCUGAGACAUGUCUCACAGGAGCCUGGUAGGACUUCAUGCCAUCGUUACGUUUUGCGAAGUAGUUUGUUAAGAGAUGGUGAGAAUCAGCUUGAAAGUCUUUGGAAAAAUGGAUUCGCUGAGUGUUUUGUCAUUUUUAUUCCACGAAGGAUUGAGCGGCUUUCCUGGCCGCUUGACCGGCACAAACGAGAUAAAAAGAAACAGUGUCAUUCUCAAUGCACCUUCAAAGGAGGAAAUAAACCUUUUAACUUGUUGUGUGCUAUUUGCACUUAAGAAGUAAUGUCCAUAAAUCGAAGCCUCAUCGUAAAAGAACGUCCAAUAGACAUUGCUGAAAGAGCCACGCAGGAACAGUAAACGUUAUCCAGAGAGCUGGUGUAAACGAAGAGUGUGAAGAGAGUAUUUAUAAAGGAACGCCCCCACAACACGUGCGUUUUUGGGUGAAGUGAAAGAACAGCUGAGUCAUGAAACACGAUGACAUGUCAUUUAUCAUAAUAUGUAACAUAUUUUUACUGUAUUAGUUUUUUAGAAUUUUCAAAAAAACAUGUAUCAAUAUUCUCCUUAUUAAUGAUGAAUUAUUUAACUAAGCAGUGGUGUAAAAACAAUAAUUUUAAAGAGUCUUGCAUUUGUUGCUGCAGAGCCCCUACAAUGCACAGUCACUGCAACCAUUUAAAUUCAACUUGAUUAAAUGAAACAUACCUUGUUUGGCUUAGCUUGCUUCAUUGAGUUUAGUCUGUGACUUUUUCUGACCAUAUACAGAAUGUGCAGAUGUGUGGCCAAGUUACCCAAAGUGACAAUUGUGUUAUUGUUGUUAUGCGCUAUUAUUAGUGUAAUGAUACACUAGCCAAUGCAACGUUUUUGUUUAAAGACCAUAAGGUCAUGUUUACUAUGUUUACUGAGGGAAUAAACUCAUAGACUUCAAUUGGAACAGAGGAGUCGCCCCCUGCUGGUAAGCAGAGAGAAACCAAGUUUUGAGACUUUCUCCUCAGCUUCACUGUGCAGAUUGCCGCCUGGCCACAACUAGAGAGUCAUACCAGCGGAAAUGUGUCCUAACGGCCUCCACAUCCGUGGUUGGCGUGUUUUGUUGAGGGGUUUCCUCAUUUCCCGGCAGCUUGUGGCGGUGUUCUCAAGUUACAGUCCUUUUAGGAUGCUCUCUUGUUCUCUUUCUCCCUCAGUCGCUCGUCCAACCCCUGCUCCUCAGCAUCUUUCCCCCACAUCGACCCAGCGCCCCUCGCUCUCCCCCGACAGGCUCUUUCCCACUCCCUCCCCUCCUCUGUCCCCAAGUGGCAGCCCCGCCUCCUACUCCCAUCAGCCAACCUGUAGCCGUCUACGAGCCACGUUUCAGGGUCGCCGUAGUUACUCAGAGGUGAGGCGGAGUUUUUAGAGCAUCAACAUUUCACGUCAUCUCGCAGUGACAGUCUGACCUCUCAUCCUCCUUUUUUUUCCUUCUUUUUUUCAGGUGUCUGACCCGUCCGGCACCCACAGGCCCCCAGGGUGGCUGAUGAGGGAUCCAGUGUCCACCUUCCCGAAACCCAGGCCCCUCCUGGGGGAGAAGCAGGGUUACGGCCAAAUCAAAGCGCAGCUGCGCACCUCCUUGGUGGGCCUGAUCCGACCGGCCUCGGCUCAUGGGGCCGGAGGGGAGAGAGGAGGAGGAACGGGUGGUGGUGGGGAAGGGGACAGGGGUGGGGGUAGCAGUCUGAGCAGCAGUCCUCAUCACUGUGCCCUGGACCUGGACUUCCACCGGGCUUCUGAGGUAAGAAUGAUCUUUUGUUCACUUUCAUCAAGUCCUUGACUUUUGGGGCUGAAGUCAACCAAGUCUUCAACCAGGUUGUGAAAAUGUACUUAAUCUUUAACCAUAAAUGAAAAGGUACCAAAAGAGUUCAUUGAAAUGAUGUUGAUACAGUUUCUUCAGCAGGUGUAUCAACCCAGACAGUACCAUUGUUUAAACAUGUGUAACUGAUUGCUAGGUGCACCUCUUGCUGACUGAGGCCAUAAAGGGUUGCCCGCAUAGACUGUAUAUUGUCGCAAUGUCGCCCAUUCUAUAUUUGGAAUGUGGAGGAGUGACAUAGUGACGGCGUAUACAGCUAUGAAAGUAAGGAGCUAAGUAAAUUAGCCUCACCACAUCACUGUUACCCUCUGGGUGCAACAUUUCAUAGACCGCUCUACAUGCCCCUCCUCUCUUUCAGGUACAUCACUUCCGUCGACUUGAGAACCCGCCUGAGCCCGCCCCCUUGGUGACGCCGCCGCAGUCCUCUGAUGAGGAAGAGGUGAUGGUGACGAUAACGAUGUGCUCGGCUCUUCUUGUGGCUUUUGAAGCUGGGUUUACUCACUUUGACGUCACUUUACAGGAUGUUUGUACAUAUCUGUCGCCGGCCGCGAGCCCGCCUCGGACGCUCGGCGCGAUUGGCUCGUCGUUACGUAGGGACCCGCCCCUGCACCACUCAUUCUCGUCUCCUGGGAAACAGCCCCACCAUCCCUCCUUCUCGUCCCCCCAGGGCCCUGCUACCCUCUCCUGCCAUCUGCCUCCCUACAUGACCUCUGAGCACGCUCAAUCAUGGCCGUCCAUCAACGUGAGUACAAAAAAGCUAAAAGAAUCACCUUGUUGGGAGACCACAUCGACAACGACUCGCUUUGUUUUCAGUUUUAGCGAUUAAAAGCUUCUGCCUGCUUGCUAGAGUGGCAACUGCUUUUAAAAGUUGAGCCCUAUAUAUUUAUGAAACAGUAUCACCUGGUGUUGUUACCUUAUAUUGAGUUACAUUAUUAUAGUCUUUACUACUUUUAAUGUUCUACUUUGUAGCUUUGUAUUGUGUGUUCUGUUCAGCCCUUAUAUUUUUGUGUUAUAUCUUUAAUUUUGUUCGUGACUAGACUUUUUACUCUGUCUCUAAAAAAGCAUGAGUUUUUAAACGGCUUCAUUGGAACAUUGCCAUAAAAAUUGGCUAACAAAACAGUUAAAUAAUGUUAAAUCAUCAUUUUUUUGAAAGCUUAGACCAGAUCUGAUGGACAUCAAAGCUU
ensembl:lncRNA